UGAUCGUGGCGCCGCCAUAACAUGAUCGAUCAUAACUUGCGUCCCUGCUCUAGCCUCCCCACCUUCACACCACCACCACCUCCACCACCACACCUGUUGGGAAGAAAUGGAACAUGGAUACGCUUCCACCUUGCCCAUGCCAGACCACUUCAGGUUCAGUAAAGUGUCGAAACGAUCCCGCUCCAAGUCCAAGCUACAGAACAACAGGACGACACACAAUGAGCUGGAGAAAAACCGGUGAGUCACGCGACCUGUACUACCUCGUCAUCACCAUCAUCAUCAUCAUCAUCAUCAUCAUCAUCAUCACGCAUGACAAACAAGUCCACUGAAGGAUAAAA